UCCUAUGAUGAGCAACAAUUAUUUCGCUGUGUUCUUACUGAACAUCAUUGAAGAAAAAAAAUUUUCACCUUGGAGAACUGAUAU
rnacentral:snoRNA from 1 species